AGCGAACGCUGGCGGCAGGCUUAACACAUGCAAGUCGAGCGGGCACUUCGGUGUCAGCGGCAGACGGGUGAGUAACGCGUGGGAACAUACCUUUUGGUUCGGAACAACACAGGGAAACUUGUGCUAAUACCGGAUAAGCCCUUACGGGGAAAGGAUUUAUCGCCGAAAGAUUGGCCCGCGUCUGAUUAGCUUGUUGGUGAGGUAACGGCUCACCAAGGCGACGAUCAGUAGCUGGUCNGAGAGGAUGAUCAGCCACAUUGGGGACUGAGACACGGCCCAAAACUCCUACGGGAGGCAGCAGGUGGGGAAGUAUUGGGACAAUGGGCGCAAGCCUGAUCCAGCCAUGCCGCGUGAGUGAUGAAGGCCCUAGGGUUGUAAAGCUCUUUUAACGGGGAAGAUAAUGACGGUACCCGUAGAAUAAGCCCCGGCUAACUUCGUGCCA
rnacentral:rRNA from 1 species